rnacentral:rRNA from 1 species
GCUUCCAAGAAAAGCCCUAUACCCGUUAAGGCAUGAUGGCCUGUACCCGAAACCGACACAGGUGGGGUGGUAGAGAAUACCGAGGGGCGCGAGGUAACUCUCUCUAAGGAACUCGGCAAAAUGGCCCCGUAACUUCGGGAGAAGGGGUGCCACCGCAAGGUGGUCGCAGUGAAGAGGCCCAGGCGACUGUUUACCAAAAACACAGGUCUCCGCUAAGUCGCAAGACGAUGUAUGGGGGCUGACGCCUGCCCAGUGCCGGAAGGUUAAGGAAGCUGGUCAGCGCAAGCGAAGCUGGCGACUGAAGCCCCGGUGAACGGCGGCCGUAACUAUAACGGUCCUAAGGUAGCGAAAUUCCUUGUCGGGUAAGUUCCGACCCGCACGAAAGGCGUAACGAUCUGGGCGCUGUCUCGGAGAGAGGCUCGGCGAAAUAGAAUUGUCUGUGAAGAUGCGGACUACGUGCACCCGGACAGAAAGACCCUAUGAAGCUUUACUGUAGCUUGGUAUUGUGCCCGGGCUCUGAAUGCGCAGGAUAGGUGGGAGGCUUUGAUCCAUUGCUUGUGGGUAAUGGUGAGCCAACGGUGAGAUACCACUCUUUCAGAGCUAGGGUUCUAACGGUCACCCGUUAUCCGGGGACCGGACAGUAUCAGGUGGGCAGCUUGACUGGGGCGGUCGCCUCCUAAAAGGUAACGGAGGCGCGCAAAGGUUCCCUCAGGCUGGUUGGAAAUCAGCCGACGAGUGUAAAGGCAGAAGGGAGCUUGACUGUGAGACCUACAAGUCGAACAGGGACGAAAGUCGGCCUUAGUGAUCCGACGGUUCUGAGUGGAAGGGCCGUCGCUCAACGGAUAAAAGUUACUCUAGGAUAACAGGCUGAUCUCCCCCAAGAGUUCACAUCGACGGGGAGGUUUGGCACCUCGAUGUCGGCUCAUCGCAACCUGGGGCUGAAGUCGGUCCCAAGGGUUGGGCUGUUCGCCCAUUAAAGCGGUACGCGAGCUGGGUUCAGAACGUCGUGAGACAGUUCGGUCCAUAUCCGGUGCAUGCGCAGGAAUAUUGAGAGGAUUUCUCCCUAGUACGAGAGGACCGGGAGGAACGCACCUCUGGUGUGCCAGUUAUCGUGCCAACGGUAAACGCUGGGUAGCCAUGUGCGGAGAGGAUAACCGCUGAAAGCAUCUAAGUGGGAAGCCCACCUCAAGAUGAGUAUUCCCAUGGCGUUAGCCAGUAAGGUCACGGGCAGAACACCCGUUGAUAGGCUCUACGUGGAAGCCGGGCAACCAGUGAAGCGGAGGAGUACUAAUAGACCGAGGGC